GAUGAAGAACGUAGCGAAAUGCGAUACGUAAUGUGAAUUGCAGAAUUCAGUGAAUCAUCGAAUCUUUGAACGCAUAUUGCGCUCUCUGGUAUUCCGGAGAGCAUGCUUGUUUGAGUAUCAGUAUACACCUCAACUUCCAUAUCUUGUUUGAAAUGGGAGUUGGACUUGAGUGAUCCCAACGCUUUUCCUCACCGAAAAGUGGCGGGUUACUUGAAAUGCAGGUGCAGCUGGACUUUUCUCUGAGCUAUAAGCAUAUCUAUUUAGUCUGCCUAAAAAACAGAUUAUUACCUUUGCUGCAGCUAACAUAAAGGAGAUUAGUUCUUGUGCUGACUGAUGCAGGAUUCACAAAGACAGGCUUCGGCCGACUUUGUAAACUCGAUCUCAAAUCAAGUAAGACUACCCGCUGAACUUAAGCAUAUCAAUAAGCGGAGGA
rnacentral:misc_RNA from 1 species